rnacentral:rRNA from 1 species
GCCGAGGAACCACGGUUCCGAAGUGAUUGAUACCCAGCUUCCAGGAAAAGCCACUAAGCUUCAGUCUAGAGUUGACCGUACCGCAAACCGACACAGGUGGGCAGGAUGAAAAUUCUAAGGCGCUUGAGAGAACUCAGGAGAAGGAACUCGGCAAAUUAACACCGUAACUUCGGGAGAAGGUGUGCCCCGGUAGCGUGUAGAGACUUGCUCUCGAAGCGCGAUGGGGUUGCAGUGAAAUGGUGGCUGCGACUGUUUAAUAAAAACACAGCACUCUGCAAACACGAAAGUGGACGUAUAGGGUGUGACGCCUGCCCGGUGCCGGAAGGUUAAGUGAUGGGGUGCAAGCUCUUGAUCGAAGCCCCGGUAAACGGCGGCCGUAACAAUAACGGUCCUAAGGUAGCGAAAUUCCUUGUCGGGUAAGUUCCGACCUGCACGAAUGGCGUAACGAUGGCCACACUGUCUCCUCCUGGGACUCAGCGAAGUUGAAAUGUUUGUGAAGAUGCAAUCUACCCGCGGCUAGACGGAAAGACCCCAUGAACCUUUACUGUAGCUUUGCAUUGGACUUUGAACCGGUUUGUGUAGGAUAGGUGGGAGACUGUGAAGCCGGGACGCUAGUUUCGGUGGAGUCAACCUUGAAAUACCACCCUGAUUUGUUUGAGGUUCUAACCUUGGUCCGUGAAUCCGGAUCGGGGACCGUGCAUGGUAGGCAGUUUGACUGGGGCGGUCUCCUCCCAAAAGGUAACGGAGGAGUACGAAGGUACGCUUAGGGCGGUCGGACAUCGCCCACAAAGUGCAAUGGCAAAAGCGUGCUUGACUGCGAGACCCACAAGUCGAGCAGGUACGAAAGUAGGUCAUAGUGAUCCGGUGGUUCUGUAUGGAAGGGCCAUCGCUCAACGGAUAAAAGGUACUCUGGGGAUAACAGGCUAAUUCCUCCCAAGAGUUCAUGUCGACGGGGGAGUUUGGCACCUCGAUGUCGGCUCAUCACAUCCUGGGGCUGUAGUCGGUCCCAAGGGUAUGGCUGUUCGCCAUUUAAAGUGGUACGCGAGCUGGGUUUAAAACGUCGUGAGACAGUUUGGUCCCUAUCUGCCGUGGGCGCUGGAAAUUUGAAGGGGGCUGCUCCUAGUACGAGAGGACCGGAGUGGACGAACCUCUGGUGUACCGGUUAUGACGCCAGUCGUAUCGCCGGGUAGCUAAGUUCGGAAGAGAUAAACGCUGAAAGCAUCUAAGCGUGAAACUCGCCUUAAGAUAAGAUUUCCCGGAGUCUUGAACUCCCUGAAGGGUCGUCGAAGACCACGACGUUGAUAGGUCAGGUGUGGAAGCGCAGCAAUGCGUUAAGCUAACUGAUACUAAUUGCC